rnacentral:rRNA from 1 species
GACGAACGCUGGCGGCGUGCCUAAUACAUGCAAGUCGAACGAGAGCGACCGGUGCUUGCACUGGUCAAUCUAGUGGCGAACGGGUGAGUAACACGUGGGUAACCUGCUCAUCAGAGGGGGAUAACAUCCGGAAACGGAUGCUAAAACCGCAUAGGUCUUCGAGCCGCAUGGCUUGAAGAGGAAAAGAGGCGCAAGCUCCUGCUGAUGGAUGGACCCGCGGUGCAUUAGCUAGUUGGUGAGGUAACGGCUCACCAAGGCCGUGAUGCAUAGCCGACCUGAGAGGGUGAUCGGCCACAUUGGGACUGAGACACGGCCCAAACUCCUACGGGAGGCAGCAGUAGGGAAUCUUCCGCAAUGGACGCAAGUCUGACGGAGCAACGCCGCGUGAGUGAAGAAGGUUUUCGGAUCGUAAAACUCUGUUGUUAGAGAAGAACAAGUGCUAGAGUAACUGUUAGCGCCUUGACGGUAUCUAACCAGAAAGCCACGGCUAACUACGUG